rnacentral:tRNA from 1 species
GACUUGGUUAGGAAAAACUGAAAACUGCUAAUUUCUCAGCCCCGAGGUUCAACUCCUCGGCCAUCUCA